rnacentral:rRNA from 1 species
GACGAACGCUGGCGGCGUGCCUAAUACAUGCAAGUUGAGCGCUGAAGGUUGGUACUUGUACCAACUGGAUGAGCAGCGAACGGGUGAGUAACGCGUGGGGAAUCUGCCUUUGAGCGGGGGACAACAUUUGGGAACGAAUGCUAAUACCGCAUAAAAACUUUAAACACAAGUUUUAAGUUUGAAAGAUGCAAUUGCAUCACUCAAAGAUGAUCCCGCGUUGUAUUAGCUAGUUGGUGAGGUAAAGGCUCACCAAGGCGAUGAUACAUAGCCGACCUGAGAGGGUGAUCGGCCACAUUGGGACUGAGACACGGCCCAAACUCCUACGGGAGGCAGCAGUAGGGAAGCUUCGGCAAUGGACGAAAGUCUGACCGAGCAACGCCGCGUGAGUGAAGAAGGUUUUCGGAUCGUAAAACUCUGUUGGUAGAGAAGAACGUUGGUGAGAGUGGAAAGCUCAUCAAGUGACGGUAACUACCCAGAAAGGGACGGCUAACUACGUG